rnacentral:rRNA from 1 species
GAUGAACGCUAGCUACAGGCUUAACACAUGCAAGUCGCAGGACUGGCGCACGGGUGAGUAACGCGUAUCCAACCUUCCCAUAACUACGGGAUAACCCGUUGAAAGACGGCCUAAUACCGUAUGGUUAGGGAGCGGGAUGCGUCUGAUUAGCUUGUUGGCGGGCUAACGGCCCACCAAGGGGACGAUCAGUCGGGGUUCGGAGAGGAAGGGCCCUCACAUUGGAACGUGGACACGGUCCAAACUCCUACGGGAGGCAGCACUGAGGAAUAUUGGUGAAGGGGCGAGUGCCUGAACCAGCCAAGUAGCGUGCAGGAUGGCGGCCUAUGGGUGGUAAACUUCUUGUAUGUGGGGAUAGGUACCACAUGAAUAAGGACCGGCUAAUUCCGUGCCAGCCGCCGCGGUAAUAC